rnacentral:miRNA from 1 species
UAAAUUUACAUCGGUUCUCUGGACAACCGAUGAAGAUUUAAGAAUAAAUCUACAUCGGUUCUCCAGAGAACCGAUGUAGAUUUA